rnacentral:rRNA from 1 species
UUUGAAACUUGUUCCACUCCUUACGGGGGAGACAGUCAUGAGACGUGAGUAUAAGACCUGAGUGUAAAGACCUUAGGGUGAAGCAAUUGGAGGGCAAGCUUUGGUGCCAGCAGCCGCGGUAACUCCAACUCCAAGAGUGUCUAUGGUGGAUGCUGCAGUUAAAGGGUCCGUAGUCGUGAAUGCAAUUAAAUGUCGUUGUUCAAUAGCGAUGAGUUUGCUAAUGUUUGCGGAACGGAUAGGGAGUGUAGUAUAGACUGGCGAAGAAUGAAAUCUCAAGACCCAGUUUGGACUAACGGAGGCGAAGGCGACACUCUUAGACGUAUCUUAGGAUCAAGGACGAAGGCAGGAGUAUCGAAAGUGAUUAGACACCGCUGUAGUUCCUGCAGUAAACUAUGCCGACAGCCUGUGUGUGAGAAUACGUGGGCGGGAGAAAUCUUAGUGUUCGGGCUCUGGGGAUAGUACGCUCGCAAGGGUGAAACUUAAAGCGAAAUUGACGGAAGGACACUACCAGGAGUGGAUUGUGCUGCUUAAUUUAACUCAACGCGGGAAAACUUACCAGGGUCAAGUCAUUCGUUGAUCGAAUACGUGAGAAUGGCAGGAGUGGUGCAUGG